AAAUAGUUUUGUGAGACAUUUCUUCCCUUCACUAUCUCUGUUUUGUCUGGGAUAGUGACACAGUUGUUUCUAUGUGUAAUAGUUCUUCCAACCUGGAACUAACAAUUUGCUAACAUUACCAUUCUGUAGAAUGCCUUCUUGAUAAUUCAUGCAGAGAAAGAUCGGGAAGAGGACAUUUGAGCUCACAGUGACUUUCAGGGUCUGUGGCUUCCUUUCUUGGCUAGUGACAUGAAGAAUGGUCUUCAGAGGAGAUGCCUGCUGUUUGCACUGACAACAGUAGAGUCUCCUGCCUUCACAAAAGAGUAGGCUGAAAUUAGGAUUAUAGUCCAUAAUGUCUGCUCCACCGCUUCCCUCAUGAAGUCUCUCUUUUGGAGUGUCAUCUACAGCGUUCUUUUGAGAUGUCAUAUUUCUGCUUGACUCGCAGAGCAGCAGUGAAGAUGAUUCUUCUUUCUCUCUGCAUCCUGGCAGGUGGCUGUGUUCUCUUUCUCCAUUUCAACACAAUGCUGUGAAUUUCCACUCCGCACUGUGCCUCUGUAAGUUUCCAGCUUCAUUCCACAUGGUUGAAUCCCAGUCACUCACAAAGAAAGGUUC
rnacentral:lncRNA from 1 species